GCUCAACCGAGGAAGUGCUUCGAAAACUGGUAAACUUGAGUGCAGAAGAGGAAAGUGGAACUCCAUGUGUAGCGGUGGAAUGCGUAGAUAUAUGGAAGAACACCAGUGGCGAAGGCGGCUUUCUGGUCUGUAACUGACGCUGAGAUUCGAAAGCAUGGGUAGCAAACAGGAUUAGAUACCCUGGUAGUCCAUGCCGUAAACGAUGAGUGCUAAGUGUUGGAGGGUUUCCGCCCUUCAGUGCUGCAGCUAACGCAUUAAGCACUCCGCCUGGGGAGUACGAUCGCAAGAUUGAAACUCAAAGGAAUUGACGGGGGCCCGCAUAAGCGGUGGAGCAUGUGGUUUAAUUCGAAGCAACGCGAAGAACCUUACCAGGUCUUGACAUACCAUGAAAAGCUAAGAGAUUAGUCUUUCCCUUCGGGGACAUGGAUACAGGUGGUGCAUGGUUGUCGUCAGCUCGUGUCGUGAGAUGUUGGGUUAAGUCCGCAACGAGCGCAACCCUUAUUAUCAGUUGCCAGCAUUCAGUUGGGCACUCUGGUGAGACUGCCGGUGACAAACCGGAGGAAGGUGGGGACGACGUCAAAUCAUCAUGCCCCUUAUGACCUGAGCUACACACGUGCUACAAUGGUCGGUACAACG
rnacentral:rRNA from 1 species